GUGACUUCUGAGCUUUCUGCGCAUGUGACAAUGGUAUCGACAAUGGACCCACCGUGUCUCAAACAAACCGAAGUAAGUACAAUGAAACCGAGACAGACCGGAAUAAGCUCUCCGGUUCGGCAGAUAGCACACACAAUCAAAGUCUUAUCUGGCUUUGGAAGGUACAAGAACAACCGUGAGAUGGGGAGCUUACUGGUUUGAUCGGUUGAUCAGCUUAUCAAAAAGACCAGUGACU